CCCUUAGAUGUUCUGGGCCGCACGCGCGCUACACUGAUGCAUUCAACAAGCCUAGCCUUGACCGAGAGGUCCGGGUAAUCUUUGAAACUGCAUCGUGAUGGGGCUAGAUUAUUGCAAUUAUUAAUCUUCAACGAGGAAUGCCUAGUAAGCGUGAUUCAUCAAAUCGCGUUGAUUACGUCCCUGCCCUUUGUACUCACCGCCCGUCGCUCCUACCGAUUGAAUGUGUUGGUGAGGAGCUCGGAUUGGCAGCAGUUGGUGGUUCGCCACCGGCUAUUGCUGAGAAGUCCUCCAAACCGCCCCAUUUAGAGGAAGGAGAAGUCGUAACA
rnacentral:rRNA from 1 species